rnacentral:tRNA from 1 species
AUGGCGAAAGCGAAAAGAACGAACUGGAAACGAAUCGGGACGAUUGCGGUUCCGUUGAUCUUUGCAGUGGUUAUAUUGUUCAAAGUGUUCAACAACAGCAAAUCAGCGGCGGAUUUACAGACAUUGUUGCAAAAUCUACCCAAGGAGAUUAACAUGGGAUCAUCUGAGGAGACUGAACGGAAGUUCAUGGAGAAAUUCGAGAAGUUUAGCCAGGAUAUGUUGAGAAAACAGGACGAACAAGCCAGACGGUUUGAUCGUGAAAGAAAGGUGUUGGAGAAGAAGAUCCAGGAGCUAAAACAGCCAGCUAGACAUGCUACGUUGCGUGAGAAGCUUGCGGUUGUGUUUGAGUACGGUACUACUCAAAGAUUCCCGGCAUUUGUGUGGCAGAGUUGGCCAUAUCUGGACGAGGACGAGAAACUGGAAGGAGAUUUACAGAAGAAUGAGAGGAACUGGGCGAACAAGAACCCUGGGUUUGUGCAUGAGAUUGUGAAUGAUGACACAGCAGCAGCGUUUGUUCAUUAUUUCUACUCCACUAUACCAGAGGUGAUCGAGGCGUACGAUUCGUUGCCCACGGCAAUCUUGAAGAUCGAUUUUUUCAAGUACUUGAUCUUGCUCGCGCGCGGUGGUGUUUUCGCAGACAUCGACACCGAUCUGUUGCAGCCAGUACCCAACUGGAUCCCAGAAAACGUUUCUCCAAAGGAAAUUGGUCUUAUCGUGGGAAUUGAGCACGAUUCGAAGACUCCUGACUGGAGAUCUACGUACUUGAGACGUUUGCAGUUUGGAAACUGGAUCAUCCAGGCUAAGCCCGGUCACCCAGUGAUUCGUGAAAUGGUUGCCAAGAUUACAGAAACAACGCUAGAUAAGAAAUACUCGGGGCAGCUUAACACCAACUUAAGAAACGAUUUGACCAUCAUGGGCUGGACCGGGACCGGUGCAUGGACCGACGUCAUCUUCACGUACUUCAACGAUUACGUGCAAAGUGGUGUGCUGGACAAGAUCACAUGGAAGCAGUUCCACAACUUGAAGGUCCCAAAGCUUGUAGGUGACGUUUUGGUGUUCCCAGAAGUCACAUUUAGCGCACCUCGUCCGGACUCCGACUCUGAUAACCAAGGAUCAAAUCCCGAGUCCAACACGGCUCUCCAUUUCGCAACUCAUUCCAAGAUGAAGUCCUGGAAGUCCCUCCCAAAGGCAGCCGCUAAUGCCGACAAAUAG